rnacentral:rRNA from 1 species
AUUGAACGCUGGCGGCAGGCCUAACACAUGCAAGUCGAGCGGAUGAAGGGAGCUUGCUCCUGGUUUCAGCGGCGGACGGGUGAGUAAUGCCUAGGAAUCUGCCUGGUUGUGGGGGAUAACGUCGGGAAACGGGCGCUAAUACCGCAUACGCCCUGAGGGAGAACGUGGGGGAUCUGAGGACCUCACGCUAUCAGAUGAGCCUAGGUCGGAUUAGCUAGUUGGUGGGGUAAAGGCAUACAAGGGCGACGAUCCGUAACUGGUCUGAGAGGAAGAUCAGUCACACUGGAACGGAGACACGGUCCAGACUCCUACGCGAGGCAGCAGUGGGGAAUAUUGGACAAUGGGCGAAAGCCUGAUCCAGCCAUGCCGCGUGUGUGAAGAAGGUCUUCGGAUUGUAAAGCACUUUAGGUUGGGAGGAAGGGCAGUACGUUAACACCUCGCUGUUAUGACGUUACCAACAGAAUAAGCACCGGCUAACUUCGUG